rnacentral:rRNA from 1 species
UACGAAGGGGGCUAGCGUUGCUCGGAUCACUGGGCGUAAAGGGUGCGUAGGCGGGUCUUUAAGUCAGGGGUGAAAUCCCGGGGCUCAACCUCGGAACUGCCUUUGAUACUGGAGAUCUUGAGUCCGGAAGAGGUAAGUGGAACUGCGAGUGUAGAGGUGAAAUUCGUAGAUAUUCGCAAGAACACCAGUGGCGAAGGCGGCUUACUGGUCCGGAACUGACGCUGAGGUGCGAAAGCGUGGGGAGCAAACAGG